AUUUUUAUUUUUUUCAAAAAAAAAGAACAGUAUUAUGUAGCUCCUAAUGAAUUAACAGGAGUUACAUUAGCAUAUCAUAAAGUUGUGUAUGCUCUUUGAGUCUUAAAUCACCGGGGCAAUGAAAUCGUCUUCCUUUUGCGGAGAUCUGAUAAUAUGCUCUUAACAAUUUUUGGUUUUAUUAGUGAGCCAUAAGGUUUGUUUAAGCGGAAGUUUUGUGAUUUCAUGUUAGGGACAAGGGCUUCAUAGAUGUGUUCCUUUCUAUUUUUAUUCUUUAUAUUACUAGUUCAUUGGUUCAUGGACACGCUAACCUAAAAGUAGUUAAAUCUCCUUGGCCUUGAGCGAGUGUUUCCAUACUACCACUAAUCCUUGGGUGAUCCAAUGUUUCCUAUAAAAAAAAGUACACAUAAAUAUAUAGCCUAGGGUACCUUUCUUUUUCAGUAAUCAACAUACAGUUUAAAGUUAAGAAUGUUAUGGUUUUCGUGUGUGAUUAAACCAA